CAUAAUUUGCAAAGAAGAUAGAUACAUCCAUCCAUCCAUCCAUAGCUCCACAUGUUACUUUAACCUCUCGAAUCGUUCUUCACUGAGAACCAUUCUGGGUUGCGAGAGGGAAGUAAGAUCCCCGAGGUGGGCCAGUUGAUGUGACAGGGAAGUGAUGGAAAGGAGAUAUCUGAAAGCUGGUAGGGAUAAGUCGAAGUAGCAGCAUCUGAUUGCAGCGAUGGCGUGCUGUUAUUGGGAAUUGUGAAUUCCAUGGACCCUUGUAUCUUCAGAAAUAAAUCAAAAACAUCCCAAUCAAACCAAAGAUCUAUUGUUUAGCUGAAGCCCAGAUCAAAGUGGGACUGUGGAUCCUGAUAUUGGCUAAAGAAGACAUCUACAACAGAUUGAGUUCAUCUACAUCAUUCACAAAUCACCAGCAUCUAAGACCCCAAUGAAUAUUCUAACUCAAGAUCCAACCCACAAACUGAAAGCCAAACCAACUUAAGGGAAACGGACAGAGAUUUCUGAAAUUAAGCAACAAUCUUUUUGACUGCUGAAAGGCUGUGGAGGGCAGGAGUCCUGCUAGUUCAUUACAUUCCCAACAUAGAAAUGCAUCUCUCACAUCCAGCCGGCUAACAGUGAGGCCUAGGUCGUACACAAUAGAAGGGUGAAGAACAAAACUGGUGUGGGACAAGAAUGCCUGCAUCCCCUGAGCCCUACAGAGGAGAGAGCUCUCUGCCCUAUGCAACUGACUGUGGCAGAGUUUCUGCCAUCCAAUAACAUUGAGAGCAUUGAGGAUGAUGGUACAAUGCUGACUUAUGCCCCUCCUCAACUCCCAGCUCACCCUAAUCUUACUAUCUGCCAUGAUAAGCAAGCUGCAGAUAAUAUGAACAUGGACCAUCAACCUCCCUCACUGCAACCUCCCCUUUCCAAUUUCCUGCUUAUGUA